rnacentral:rRNA from 1 species
GUGGUAAUGCCGGAUGCUCCAGUUGACCGCAUGGUCCUCUGGGAAAGCUUUUGCGGUAUGGGAUGGGGUCGCGUCCUAUCAGCUUGAUGGCGGGGUAACGGCCCACCAUGGCUUCGACGGGUAGCCGGCCUGAGAGGGCGACCGGCCACAUUGGGACUGAGAUACGGCCCAGACUCCUACGGGAGGCAGCAGUGGGGAAUAUUGCACAAUGGGCGCAAGCCUGAUGCAGCGACGCCGCGUGCGGGAUGACGGCCUUCGGGUUGUAAACCGCUUUUGACUGGGAGCAAGCCCUUCGGGGUGAGUGUACCUUUCGAAUAAGCACCGGCUAACUACGUGCCAGCAGCCGCGGUAAUACGUAGGGUGCAAGCGUUAUCCGGAAUUAUUGGGCGUAAAGGGCUCGUAGGCGGUUCGUCGCGUCCGGUGUGAAAGUCCAUCGCUUAACGGUGGAUCCGCGCCGGGUACGGGCGGGCUUGAGUGCGGUAGGGGAGACUGGAAUUCCCGGUGUAACGGUGGAAUGUGUAGAUAUCGG